UUCAAGGGGUAGCAUUUGCAGUUUGACAGAAUUGUUUGGCCCGUAUAAGUGUUAGGAACCUCUUUAAUGACUUUACAGUGAGACUAAAUGCGUAACAUGUACUGUAUGAUGACUGGGUAGGAGUUCAGAAACAUUGCUUAUAUUAUAUAUACAGAUAGCCUUUAAGAAUGCCUUUGACGCAUGUAUUGGAAUCAUUCUCAUGGCUGGAUCAGGAGACUAUCACAGCAUCUUUGAACAGCUUUUGUGUCAGUCAGCUUUGUGCUCGUCUCUUCAUCAGUGAACAUUUGAAGACGUCUUUAAUUCUAGAGGAGGCAGGGCUGAUCCUGUCGCUGAUCCUGUUGCUGAUGACAUUCUUUUGAAGGAACACUUACUCAUCAUCAAAGGUAAAACGAAUUCCUGAGUUUAUCAAGAUAUCCUACAGGAUUAUGGCAGCAUGGUUGUGUCACAGCUGAAGCUCAGUGGAAGUUGAGUGAUGCAACAGGACAAAGGCUGUGGGAUAACUUCCGGAACGCUGUUCACACCAGACACCCUAUGAACGCCUGGAUGAGGCUAUCGCUGCCGAAAGAGUAUCAACCGGCUUUUGGCUACUUGUGACUUGAUAAAGAUGAGAUGACAUUUUCUCAACGAUUAAAUGCCAUUAAAACGUUGCUCCUCCACCAUUCCUCUAUUCAACCUCCUCUAGCUUAUCAACAAAGCUUGCCACCAAAUCAUAGCUUCUCAUAACAACAUUCAACAUUAUCACACAUAACUGCAUCACAUUUAUCACACCUUUUUAUGUCUUCCCUUCAUUGUUUGCCGGAUUCGCAUAUAAUCAUCUAUCAUAGUUUCCAUGUUGCUGUGUUUUAAAAUACCUUGGUGGGCUCUGGAUUGCUGAUGGGAUGAUCAGGGUUCAAGCCCCAGCCCUGCCAAGCUGCCACUGUUGGGCCCUUGAGCAAGGCCCUUAAUCCCCCCUGCUCCAGAGACACUGUAUCAGAGCUGCCCCUGUGCUCCAAGCCCAACCCCCUCAGUUGGGAUAUGCAAAGAAAUGUAUUCCAAUGUGCUGUAAUGUAUAUGUGGUGAUUGUAAAGGUUUCCAUGCCACAAUUUCAUUUCAUUAAGCCUUUCAGUGCAUUAUUGACAGUAAGUAAAGAAUAUACAGUAA